AUUGAACGCUGGCGGCAGGCCUAACACAUGCAAGUCGAGCGAGCGGCGGACGGGUGAGUAAUGUAUGGGGACUGCCCGAUAGAGGGGGAUAACUACUGGAAACGGUGGCCAAUACCGCAUACUAUCGGAUAACCCAUAUGGGAUUAGCUAGUAGGUGGGGUAAAGGCUCACCUAGGCGAAGACCUCUAGCUGGUCUGGGAGGAUGAUCGGCCACACUGGAACUGAGAAACGGCCCAGACUCCUACGGAGGCAGCAGUGGGGAAUAUUGCACAAGGGGCGCAAGCCUGAUGCAGCCAGGCCGCGUGUAUGAAGAAGGCCUUAGGGUUGUAAGGUACGUUCAGCGGGGAGGCGUUACCGGCAGAAGAAGCACCGGCUAACUCCGUGCCAGCAGCCGCGGUAAUUC
rnacentral:rRNA from 1 species